GACGAACGCUGGCGGCGUGCCUAAUACAUGCAAGUCGAACGCUGAAGGAGGAGCUUGCUUCUCUGGAUGAGUUGCGAACGGGUGAGUAACGCGUAGGUAACCUGCCUGGUAGCGGGGGAUAACUAUUGGAAACGAUAGCUAAUACCGCAUAAGAGUAGAUGUUGCAUGACAUUUGCUUAAAAGGUGCAAUUGCAUCACUACCAGAUGGACCUGCGUUGUAUUAGCUAGUUGGUGGGGUAACGGCUCACCAAGGCGACGAUACAUAGCCGACCUGAGAGGGUGAUCGGCCACACUGGGAGUGAGACACGGCCCAGACUCCUACGGGAGGCAGCAGUAGGGGAUCUUCGGCAAUGGACGGAAGUCUGAGCGAGCAACGCCGCGUGAGUGAAGAAGGUUGUCGGAUCGUAAAGCUCUGUUGUAAGAGAAGAACGAGUGUGAGAGUGGAAAGUUCACACUGUGACGGUAUCUUACCAGAAAGGGACGGCUAACUACGUG
rnacentral:rRNA from 1 species